UUGCUUGCUUCGGCAGCACAUAAACUAAAAUUAGAAUGAUACAAAGAAGAUUAGCAUAGCCUCUUUGUAAGGAUGACAUGCAAAUUCAUGAAGUGUUCAAUUUUUUU
ensembl:snRNA U6 U6 spliceosomal RNA